UGAUGCAGACGCCUUGCAACAAAUUCUGUCUUUGUGAAGCUUUAAAUGUACGGUUUCCUCUGAAGCUUACAGGAUAUGUACUUCCCCUUUACGCCUGAGGAUGACUGAAGACCAGCUGGCUUAAGUUUUCGAAACGGUGUUCAUCGGCAUAAAGUGUUGCUGGACGUGAAAAUGUGACAUGUCCCCCUUGUCCUGCCAAAGCAGCUCUGGCCUGUCAUGGGAAGGGACACAAGAUCAUCCUGGCAUCAUCCUUUGGGUCCUGCGCAUUGAGGAUGGGGCCUUCAGGAGGGGUCGAUUCGGCUGAUUCCGGUGCAUCCCACGCAUCCUCGAUCAGGCUACACAGAAUUCCACACCCCGAUCAGCUUUAUUGCUGUGCACAGCUGAGUUUAUAUCCCGCAUACCUCCCACAUUGUGGAAAGCACCUGAGAUAACACAAAAACCAAGGAAGAAGAGCGUCAUGUUACGGAAUGCACUGGAUAACAGUUACAUUAGAUCCUCUGCUGUUUCCACCAGCGCUGAUCCUGUGGUUGACAGCAAACUCACUUCAGACAGGAAUGACAAAGUCAACAAGGCGUUGAUGUGAACCAGCAGUGAUGUCCUGAUGUCACAGCGGGUACGUCCAACCAUGUGGGCAUCACAUGACUGAAAGAAACACUUCAUGGGUAAGAUCAUCAGCUUGACGUUGUCUUCCAAAAGUUAAUUUAUGACAUAAAAUUCAAUUCUGAAUACCACACUUAUCGUGCACAGAGCAGAGAGAGUUGCCAAACAGUUUUAGAGCUGUGUUUUUAAAUAAGAACAUCAUGAAAAUCUCAGAGCUUUAAAUCUAGAGUCCAAGCAAAAAACAACUACAGAUCAGAUUUUGGCGUGUUUUAUAAACAAUACAUGUCAGAUCAGCUUUUCUCAGUCACCCUUGUUACCUUAUGAAAAGAACUGUGCGUGAUUGUGUUUAUAAUCUCUGUGGACCGUCGUGUCUGUACAUGAAUCUGUGUGUCUGUCCAGAACUUUAGUCUACACUGAAAUUUAAUUGUAUGUUUUGCCGUAAAAUUUGUCCCACACAUCCAUGUCCCCCUGAGGAUGAACAACUGGGGCGAGCAGCCUCACCUGUACUUUGUGUUUGGUGCUAAAUACUAAAUGCUAGCAGGUUAACACACUAAAUCAAAGGUGGUGAAUAAGUUAAACACUAUACCUGCUUCGCGUUAGCAUGUUAGCAUUGUUGUGAUGAACAUGGUAGCCUGCUGGCUUAAGUGUGUAGGCUCUUAUUCUCAUUGGUUUGUGUUUAUCUACAUCCUGCCUUCAUGAGAACACUGAUUUUAAACAUUCUAUUAAAAAACAUUUGACCAAAACUCCUCUCUGGAACAAUAGAGCAUGUCAACCAGCUUUUAUCAAUCUUUUGUUAUUAUUAUUAUUAUUUGGAAUGCAAGCCCGUUCUGUACUGAUUAAAUGUAAGAAGGAAAAGGACAGUUGAUGUCCUCAUGACAACCUUGUCGAGCCUUUCUCGCUCAGACAACAAUGAUGACAACAAUGAUAUCUUGAUAAGACUGCCUGAUGAUACUUUAAUACGUUACAGAUACGAUGAAUAAUAACGACAGCUAAGUAACAAGAGAGGCUGAAACAGGAAGUUUGAAAUCAAGAGUCCUUGGUCUGAUAACUGUUUGCCUACCACAGUGUACAAUGUAAUUAAACAGCACAUUUUUACAACGAAACUCCAAGCACACUAGAGACAAGACUAAAAAAAACAUCUAAUAAUAGAUAAGAGCAACCUUGAGUUUUGAAAGUAUUAAAAUGUACAAAAACAGACACGAGAAAAUGAGAAAACCAGACAUGAAGUUUGUUUGUGGAAAACAAAACUCUUUCAUGAAGCAUCAUUAGGGCUUUAUAACGCACUGUGGGUGAAUAAUAGUAAAACUAGGGGUGUUGUUGUAGUCUUCUCCAUAUUACUGCACUGUUGCACAUAUUGUAUGAACUAUGAAGCCUGAAUCUUCAAGUGUUCAUUUUUUCAUCUUCCAGUCGACAUGAAAGCCAAAAUAAGUUUGUUGCUGGAGCUCAGAAGAGGCAUAUUUUGAAGCAUAUGACCAUUGUCUGUAUGUCUCAUGUCUGACUUGAUUAAUUUUGUCUUUGUCUGAAAAUCACUUUUAAAACUACCAUCAGUCACUGGACUUUUCUCAGUAUGAUAAGUAGGCCUACUAUAAAGUAAAAUGAAGGCCUAGGUGAAGAAAUCAGAUUCAUUUUUGCAAUAAAAUUAACAAAUUUACUUUCAAAAAGCUGUUUUUUAUUUAAAGUCUACAACCAUCUUAGACAUGUCAAGCCCCUGUUCUAAUGUCAUAUGUUAAGUGUAUCUUCAUUCUACUAAGCUUUGAAUUGCAUUGUAGAAUUUCCACUUCAGCAUAUGACUUUUCCUCAGCGUCAAGUGACUCAAUUAUUCAUUUUUGCUGUUGCAAUAAAAUUCUAACUGGCAAUUUUAUGGCACAAUAACAUAGAAUACUGACUUCAUCAGUUUUUCCGUUCAUGGUCACCAUUUUCAAGAACUAAUUUUGUUUAUUUUGCACUUUUUGGGAAAGAAAGUUUUGUCAUCGUUGAUUUUGCCCUUUAGUACAGACGACAACAUCAAGGAUUCAACUGGACAGCAGCAGCCACGCGAUGGAGAGUCAGCAAAAACCUCCGACUAAAUCUUGAGUAGUGAUGAGCGAUGAAAAUGGAGGCUAACAGACGUGUGUGUUUAAACUGGAUCACCAGCCAGCCUUCAUUCUCCCUUCAUUUUAUACCAAAAUAAACACUGAUGGUGUCAUUAUCCUAUAACCAUAAAAUGGUGCAAUCAACAUGCUAAAGCAAUAACAAACAAAAAACAUUAGCAACAUUAGCACACUGACACUAGUAAGUUGGCUAAAUUGUGAUGAUACCCUGAGUAAAUUAAGUCUCAUUUGUAAACUGCACUUUCUGACUGUGUAUAUGCUGUGGGCUAUAUUAUAUGGCUAUAUUGUAAUUCAGAGCCACACUCUCCAGCGUUGUUCAUUUAGGAGAAUUUUUUUUUUGAUUGCCACAAAAUGUCAAAUACCAGCAAGAUUCAUAUGGUGAUUGUGGCUCAGGAGGUAGAGGUGGCAUUUAGGCAUUUAACAUUGAUACGGUAGGAACAGGCAGAAAAGUUUUUUUGUUAACAUCAAAGAUAAAACUCAACUUUUCCUCACCAGGUGCUUUUGUGUGGAAACUCGGGUAGAUCAUCACAGUUUCGAUUGACCAGACUUGUGACUUGCUGGAUUUAAGCAAUGGCUUGACUUGUCUUGUUUGAAUUGAAGCAAGGCUUCAACUUGACUUGCUUCUCACCACAGUAACUUGGGAUUUUCUUGAGUCAGGGGGCCUAGGACAGUUUAAACCAGAGACAGUUGUGAUGUGUUUCUGUUUUCCAAGACAACUAACAAGAAUUUAAAAGGGAGGGUUUUUUUUUUUUCAGAAGAUGCUGGGAAACAGCCCUUGCAAACAGGAACAUAGUUUGACGUCAUAACCACACAAAACAGCUUGUCACGUAAUAUCCAGAAACUUCUUCAUUCGUCAUUCAGCAGACAAUUAGCAACGCCUGGACACUGGACAAUCCACAAACCUUCAAGAGGGGCCACAUGAGAAAUUCCUCAUCCAGACAUGCAAGAGGGGCUCGGAGAAAUGGUUUUCGUUGUUUGGUGUGGAAGAACUUGACCAGCCUGCACAGAAUCCUGACCUGACCUGACUCAAUCCAACACCUGAGAGGAGCUACAAUGACAACUGUGAGCCAAGCCUCAUCACUUAACAUCAAUGCACAACAGGCGUCCACAAACUUUUGACCACAUGGUGUAUUUUGCCAAAAAACAUCCAGAGGCAAAACUGGCAGCAUGCAGGUCGCUGUUUAUGAACCUACAGGGAGAUUUCCCUAUGACAAGAAAACUUCAAACUUCUGACAUGAAAGACAUGAGAAACGUUUGUGGUAAAGUAUGUACUUAAGCAAAAGAAGGGCAAAGGCAAGGAAAAUCUACUUGAGGUAUCACAAAUAAACGUACUCAGUGGAAAAUGUUUCAUGUGACUUGUAGAUAUUAUAACAUACAGAAUUUUACUGUUAAAGUUGGCUGAGAUGAAGCAAAUUUUUAAUUGUUUUAUAUAAGGAUCCAACUAAUGAUUAUUUUUAAUAUGGAUCAAUCUGCCCAACACAACUAUCCAGAGCCCAGAAUGAUGCCCACAGAUAGAAUUAAUUAAAAUAACUACAGGAAAAAAGGAGGAUUUGACAAGCUGGAAUUGUGCAAAGUUUGGUCUUUUGAAAAUGAAAAAUGACAAAGGCAGCUCAUAAAAUUGUUAAAUUAAUCGGUUGGGUAGUUUCAUCAAUGAAGCAUCAUAUUUUAUGUAGGAAAUUGUAAUUUGUAAAGUAACUAGUAAGUAAAUCUGACAAAUAAUUGUAGUGGGGGAAAAAAUACAUUUCCUGAAAUUUCACCCCUGAUAACAAGUAACUCAGAAGUGUUUUUUAAAAGUAGGUAAGUGAAGCCUUUGAGUGUAAUUGGGGUAAACCUGAUCCUCAGACUGCGUGACUUCAUUAAAUUAAAGACCUUCCGACUUUCCGUGGAAUAUGAUAUGCUCUCUGACUGUCUGACUGCUCAAACACAAAACUUUUUAAAUGUAGAGACACCAUAUUUGAGCUACAGUUUCACACAUCAAACCAGACCGGCAGGUUUGACAACAAUAGGAACCAAAAUUAGACAACAUUUAAAAGGUUGAAUGUGUCAUUCUGAUGAACAGAAAGCAUCAGGUAAACAAAGAUUACAGAGACACAGCAGAUGUUGCGCGGUGGCUGGGAAAGUGAUGUAACUCUGUGUUUUUUCCUGUCAUCAGACCAGUUCCCUUCAAAGACAAACACACAGGUUCACUGUAAGGCCACAGCACAACACCUUGAAGACUUGAAGGUGUCAGAAAACCUGAUGUUUGCUUUUCUUCAUGUCAGAUACAAAUACAAAAGGCUGUUGGCUGGUUAGAUAGACCUCAUUAUGCUUUACAUUCACCAGAACAACAUGAUUCUAUGUUCAAAAGCUGCUUACAUGUCACGGUCAUUAACACUUCAUAAUUUAUGACUGGUCUAUGAAAAUUAAGGUUAAAGGAGCAGUUUACUCAAAUGAAAAUUCAGUCUUUAUGUACUCAACUCUGUGUCGAUGGGAAAGUUUUUUAGCCCACAAAACAUUUCCGGAGCUUCACUCUGUUCACAGUGUUUUUCUUUUCUUUGUUCUGAAAGAGAGGAGAAGCUGGGGCCUUGUUUUAAAAUACAAAACAACAGAAAAGAAAAAUCCUAAAAUAUAAAAUGACUCCAUACUGCUUGUCCAGGGUCAUCCAAGUCUCCAAAGGCCCUGAGACGACCCAUUAUUUCAUACCCUUUUAUAAGCUUAAAUGUUUACUGCUGCUGAGCUAAAAGCGUUAGCGCGCACGCCGUCUGAAACUUGUGCACAAGCUCGAGCAACUAGAUGAGAUCAGCCAGAAUUCACCAUCUCUGCAUACCUCAGUGUUUACCUGAUAACCAUGAGCUCAUGUAAGACAAAACACCUCUGCUGAGGUUGAAGAAUUCAUCAAAACAGAACGAGAGGUACACUGAAAACACACUUUGUGCAACACAAGCUAUGUUUCUAUUUGGUGUAAAGACAUCAUUAGCAUUGCAAAGAUUGUCACAGGUUUUGUCUGUUUAUUUCAACAUGAUGAGGGGAAAUUGAAAGCUGUGAUUUUAAGGGGUUAAGACCUCAGGAUAAAUGCUGUACAACAACACGACUGUAUUUGCUGCUCUGACUGACCUAUGAGCUUCUUGUGGUGGGGGACAAGAGGAAAGAUCAAAGCUGGCACAAAUGAUGAAUUUCACUUUGAUUUUUCAGUUUCUUAAUUAAUUGUUUUGGCUAUGAAAUUGUUGUUUGAUUUGGAGUUAGAAACCUUUGGUUUUCAGUUUUAAAACUGAAACAACCAAUACUCAUGCUGAUAACCAUUUAAAUUUAGGCUUGGUAAACUAUUAAUUAUUCUUAAUUAUUGUGAUGUUUAAUUUGUCAAAAUUCUUGUUGAUCAACUACUCAGUUACUUGAUCAAUUGUUUUAGUGCUAAUUUGGAAAAACCUAUUCCAAAGUUGUUGUUUUAUUUUAUUUAGAAGAAAUUUGCUCUGACAUUCUCACAUAUAAAAUUGUCUCCCUGAAACUCGUCCUUCCUCAGCACGACUUUGAACAGCUCUCUGUCCUUCUACUUGAAGAUAAUUGAGCGAAUAAACCCCAGAGAAUCUCCUCCGCCUGACCUUCGGCCAUGUUUAGAGCCUUGCGUAGCCCUGUGUAUAAUUCUCUAAGCUGUUUGUUUGUUCCUAUGUGUUAUGUGUUUACAUGUGGCAGAAAAUAACCGGGAUCCUUGAUGAAUAUUCACGUAAACAAAGUACAGACUGUACAAGAGGACACCACAUGAGAUCCAUAUAUCAGCUGAACUCAAUGUGACAGAUAAUUCAUGGGUGAGGACAAACAAUAACUGUGACUCUUCAGAGAGCCGUAAACACACCCAAAAAAAGAAAACUGGAUUGCGUAAGUGCACAAUAUUAGAGCUCUGACAGGCAAAACUUAAGUCUGUAAUUACUGUCUUAAGUGUGGCUCAUUUCUCCAGCAAUUCCUGCCCUUGGCAAUAAUAUAGUUUUGACUCAUGCUGCUGAACAUGAUGUACCAUUCCAGUUGCAUGCAACAUGCUAAACACAGGCCCUCAGCUAUUUCACUAACAAAGUGUACAGCUUACAUACCAGUCAAGGUCUGAGGCAAACACAGAAGACAAACAUCAUUUUGAGUUAGUUUUUUUUUUUUUAUUAUUAGAAAAAACAAUUACAAAACUUUGGCAAGAUUGUGAACCAACAACUGCAUUUUGUAUAAGAAUACAUUCAUUAUUUUCAGCGUGUGCCACCGAGGUCGCACGGCUGACCCUGAAGACUUCUUUCACACUCCUAACAAGUUGAGGAAGCUGAGGACAAAACCCUCAGUUUUUUGGAAUGUUUUUUUGGUUUUUUUGUCCAUAUAUAUUUCAGUGGCAUCUCCAGCUUGAGGUUCAAUAUGAGCGCAUGAGCUUCACACAGCACCCUACAGCACCAGGGGCAUCUGGCUCCCAUCAAAAGCUCCAGACCACAUGGUUCAAAGCUCUCCAUCUCCUCUUCCUCCUCCUUUUUGUUUAGCAGCUGGGAGAGCUAAUCUAUGAGGCUUGUGCAGCUUUAAACUGCUCAUCGUAUUUAAUCACUGCGCUAAAAUCAACAGCCGCAGUGAUCCGACACCUCAGUGCCUUAAGCCUUGAAUGAACACAACACUCCUCUUGGAAUUCGGCCACAUGCAAUUCAACUAUCUUUGUUCUUUAGGUUCUUUCAGAACACAUUCAGCUCUAUGAGAAAACGGCUCCCUGAAACUCUCAUGCAAUCUUCAGUGGCAGAUAAUUAAGGCAUAUGUAUUUUUCCCUUUUACAUAUUGUCACCUGCAUGCAUAAAAUACAUCUAGUUCUUCUGCUUACUUGACUUGUCUGCUCCAUCAUCACACCUUGAGAUACUGUAUGUGCUUGAGUAACAGUAGAAAUCAUCACAGGCACACAAUGCAUAGCAAUGUAGGUUGUUAAAGUCUGUUGUGUUGCCAGUACAAGGGGAGUUUGAAACUGAGGACAAUAAUUGCACUUCUCUCUUUACGCCACUCAAAGAUGACAAUGUGCUUCUAAACAUAAUAUCAACUUAUCAGGAGCGCAUGUUUCAAACAUCUGACCACCAGAUGCAACUCCAACUCUCCACCUGACAACUAUCAAGUGAUCUUCUCCCCAGUAUGUCCCAAACUCCUUAAAUCUCCAAAUUCACUUCACACGAGGGAUUCCUUGAAUGGGAGGUAUUUGUAAAUCGCUUCACCAGGAGCUGAAGAUCACUUGGGGAGGACAGGAACUGAUGUGGAGAAGUUACUUUCCUCACAGCAGCGCAGGAAAGCACCAAACUUUACUUGAUGUACUGGAAAUGAGGUGACCUCCAAUGACAUCCAGUUCCUGUGUGCUCGGUCUCCCGACCUCUUCGUGGCACUCGCAGGCACCAUUCAUCAAAGAGAAGUAAUCCAGGAGAAGACAAAUCUCUUGAUUCGUUUCAUUAAUUUAAGUUGCUUGACGCUCAGGCAGGGCUCGAGGUUCAACACGUCAUGCAGCGAGGUCUCAUGUUGAAGGGCUGAGGGUUGGGGUCAAUCUGUAGGCAGGAAAUGGAAAUAGAGACACAUAAGAUCAAAGUUAAAAAGAUGGUUCAGCCUUUCUCUGAGCAACACAUUCAGCGCUGUACAUUCAGCGUACACCCACUGAUUUGUUUUCAUGUGGUUAGUGUCAGACAAGGCAGCUGUGUUCUCAAGAGUUUCUUAGAUGGAAAAUAUGGAGAUGUUUUAAGAAAAAAAUCAUCUAUCGAAAAAAACUGAACCAAAUAAACAGCGCUAGAAGCUGGGUGCAGCAUUUGGCGACUCACCUCGCUGUACACAGGCGGAGGUCGAAAGCGAAACUCUUGGACAAAGGCCAUGAGAGGGCGCUCCAGGAUCCCACUGAGGUCUUCGGCGGGUUGCGGGACCACCGCAUUGUGGCGCUGCUCGGCCUCCUCCGCUGUGACCACGGAGCUGUAAUCUGGAGGAGCUGCGGGGAAAGAGACGGGAUUAGUUCACUGGUCUGACUCAACAGAAGGGUACAGUUCCAACCACUAAGCUGCUGAGUCACCGCGGCAGCUAAAACUCUUUUUAUAACUGGGCUCCUACGUACGUCCUACUAUGUAGACCCACACUUCCGUGCCUGUCAAUGCCUGUAGUAUUAAAGGACACUUACGCUCAGGCUGCUCGGGGAUGGCCAUGCGCAGCCACUCCAGGUUGACGCUGUACUGGCUGCUAACGCUGGAGGUCCGACUGCCGAAGGGGUGGAGGGGGAUGGUGCCUAUGACCAGCGGGAGCUCCAGACACAGCUUGGACGUCCCGGGAACAUCAACACAAACCUGUUGGGAGGAAAAGGAGAGAGGUUUUAGCAAAGAAAAAAAAACCAGCAGCAGAGUUCAUCAGAAUUCCUUUAUUUAUCCCUGGAGGGAAAUUCUUGAAAAGACAUGGAAAGGGGCAUGUGAAUUCCUACGAAAUAAAGCACCUGUCGAGUUAGCUCACCUUGAGCAUGUACUCCACUUUGAUGAUGCGGCACUGCAGGAUGGAGGGACCCACAGGCGGGAUCUUUAUGGCGCGACCGUGCCACGUCUCCCUGCAUCUGGCGCCCACGAUAUCGCCACACAGUGUGCCCACCACCGAGUGCUUCUGCUUCAUGGUGCCGCGAGCAAUGAACGUCUGCGUCUGCGUGAUGUAGGCUUUGGGCACCACUGAUCUGGAGGUAGAGUUGUCGAACUCCGCAAAGACGGGUAUCACCUCACCUGUGGGGAGGAAAGGUAGGUUAGGAAGAGCAGACAUUUAUAAAUUGUGCUACAAAGACUGUGUGUUUUCAGGGGGAGCUGUUUUAGGUGCCAGAUUCUUACCUGGUGUGUAGCCUUUGCGGUCGAUCUUCGCAGUUACGGACACCUGUCCAAAGUUUCUGUACCACGCCCGUGCCAUUUUGUCCUUUGUUCCAGCCUGUGGCGCCUGGGUAUAAUGAAACCAAAUGAGCCAAGCAAUUCACACAGAAAAACGGGAAGUGGGUAAUACCGCAAUCAUGAAAUGCGAGGGCCGAGAUGCUCACCAGUAAGGCUGGUGUGUUGAUGUCAAUGGGCUCAAUGACCGUAAACUCCUUCUUGAUCUUCUUGACGGAGGCCCACGGCCUGUGAAGCUUCACUUUGACCCAGUAACGGAUGCUGCCGUGUUUCCCCUCAAAGGAGGUGACGAGCGUCUCCUCAGGCAGCUGAAAGCUAAAUGGAAAUUCAUGUCUGCCAGCAGGAAGGACAGUCACUUCUCCGUUAUCUGAAGAGAGGAGAAAAAAACAACACAAAACAAAUUUAACUUUGAGUUCAUUCGGGUGUCGUUUCGGUUUUGUUUUGCUCAUUUGAUUUCAAGGGUGCAAGACAGAGAGUGACUUCAACGACCAGCUUCCUUCUGUUAAAGUCACACCGAUUAUCAGGGGUAUGAGCAUGAAGUCCAUAGAUUAUCUGACUGUGUUCGAGGUGAAUCACACGAUGCAAAAAAUGAAUGCUGGCAAAUUACUUCUGAAGAAGAGAAAAACAACAAAGAUUCCUGACAAAACAACGCUCCACCUUCACAAUUAGCUCAAAAUGUUGUCUGGAAAUCCACCCAGAUCGUGUUUACUUCACGGGAGAGUGAGAACAGAUCUUUUAAGCAUGACUCUCGCUUAAAGAGAAAUCUCUGUCCUUCUCUGCAAUCACAUGGCCUCUGUGCUCGCUCAGAGGGGCGGUUCCUGCUCCAUUGUGCUGACUGGGAACAUGUUUUCCUCGAUCUGUGUUAAAACAGUCCCGUCCCAAACUGCUUUUUUUUUUCCUCCCUCUUGCUGCGCAGGUCCAACAACACGUGUUUGCGUUUAACAGACAGUGUUUUUGAGUCCCCUUUGUUGGCUGGAAGCUGCAAACUUUCCAUAACAACACCGUCACUGUCAAAUGCUGAGUGUGACUUUUCUGCUGUGUAUGCAAACAACAACAACUACAAAAAAGAAACGCAUUCAAUUCCUUCAGUGUUUUAUUAAACUUGUCUUUUAAAAAGAAAAUCCUAAGUCGAGCAGCGAGGUUGAACACCGCAAGAAAACCAGAUGAAAUCGCUGAAGCCCUGGCUGUGAAUUUCCUGUGCGCACUUUAAGCGAAAACAACUCAGUCCCCAAUGAAUGGAGACUAAAACUCUCAGGCUGCUGCGGAGAAAAACAACACACGACUUUCUUCGAAUGAGGAAAACACUGAAGUCGAGAUUUUUCUCUUUCAACAGAUGUUUUCACAAUGAGCCAGGAGGGCAAAGACAUCUGCUGCAGAAAUGUUUUACAGCUUGGGAUUUAUUUUUUUUAACUUCUAUACUGAGUUAUGACCAACAGCAAAACUUCUCGUAUGGCAGAAGAAAGUACAGACAAGCAAGCAAAAGUGCUGGAUCUCUGGGUGCUUGUCUUGUGUCUCUUACUUUGAGGAAGGACUCAAAAGCAGACCAACAACCGUGCAAAGUCUUCGAGUCAAAUCGUGCAAACUCAGCCAACUUUGCAUCUACAACAGCAACGAGUUCAACAAUCGAGUCAGAGCCAACAAAACGGAUGUGAGGAAAGCAAUUCAAGUAUAAAACGAGGUUUACAGACGGGGUGCCCCGUGUGGGGUCUCCCCCAUCACCGAGCCUGCAGAGCGGACUGACCUGCCUGCAGCAGCACCUCUCUCCGGUUCAGGUACUCCACUUCGUCGCUGUAGUUCUGUGUGUACGCGGUGCUGGAGCCGGCGGACCGGGACUCGGUCCAAUGCACUUUCGCGAACCCCUCAGCGUGGAGCUUCAGGGAGUCCACCCGACUCUCCCCGGACAGGUCCAGAACCACCCGUCCGGACACCACGUCCCCGCUGCUGAACACCGGAGGACAGUCCACCUCCGGAGAGUCGAAGACGAUGUCAAACUUUUUCAGCCUGUCGAAAAUCAUUUCUGCGGAUUUGUGCGGCUCCUCUCAAAAGGGUAAGUGAUUCCGUCCUUUUUCUGGCUCUGCAGUAUCUGAAGUUUGCUGAAAGUUAAAAGUCUUUCGAUCACUUGUUUAAAGCUCUGAGUGCUCAUCCGGAUCACAGCCCUAUUUGAGAGGACGACUAAGAAAGUGGGCGGGACUUGUGAAUUUAUUAUGAAAGGUCUCGGGGAGAGGCCCGUGCUGCCUUCAGGUACCCCUCCUUGGCACCGACUCGUCAGUACUGAAGUUGAAGUUAAGACCUGUGGCUGCCUUUCGGCUACUUCAUUUGGUCAAAACUAACGACAAAAUUCAUCAGAAAAGUUUCAAGCAUCCAACAGCAGAUUAGUGCGAGUUUCAAGCUUACAACAAACACUAGAAUCUGAGACCACCAAAAUUGGAUUGUCGGGUCGAAAACAUGAAUCAAUUCAUUUACCAAUUAACCUCCCUUUGUUUUAUAUAUUUAGGUUUUGGCUCAGGUGGCCCCCUGGGUGUACGGAGAGACAAGAGCCAUAAUAACAUCAGAACAUGUCUGGGCAAAGGCUAAAAACAAAACCAUCUCUCUGCCAGUUAUAUUUCCGUACUGAGCCUGAAGGCAGCAUAAUAAACAUGCAGGCUGGGUGUGGAGGCAGCACUGAGCAAAACAGGUCUUGGCGAUGAUUGAUGGUUACAGGUUCUUAGAAGAAAACAGGCUUACUGAACAUGCCUCCGUCUGGCAGAGAUCCGCCCUGCACUGAGGGAAAUAGUUCAACUCUGGACCAAAGCUGUUUACUCCACUUCUUCCAUGUCACUUUGAACAUACUGUUCAAGCCUGGGCUGCUGCGCACAUGGAAAACAUACAGCUAUGCUCAAAAGCACGCAACUUAUGUCACCAAACCCCCCUCAUGAAAAACAACAAGUCUCUCUACGUUUGAUAAUAAACGGGGUCAGCACACAGGAAAACUGCCAGUGAGCGAAUAAAGAAGACUUGUGCACCAACAUGCGUGAAUCAUGGCACCCGUGCAGCAUUUCCUUAACCCAUCAAAUUCACGUCCAACAUGUACAAACAAAGAAAAUUCUGAGCACAACUGAUUUUUCUUCCAAACUCUGCAGCAUUCGAUAAAACAAGCAAACACUUCUUCGCUUCUCAGAGCCUUUUCAUUCAAUGCAAAGACGAAAAUCUGAACUCUGGUCUGAGAAAAACAAAGUUGUUUACUCCUUUGUUCACUGGGGUGACUAGUUAGCUCCCCACUGCCACCAACUGGUGAAGUGGAGGCAGCGUGCGCUCCGACUGAACUGGGGAUGUUUGUGAAAAGACGGAAGACUCCAGAGAGACGGUGCGUUCACUGAGCUCUUGCCUAAAGUGAAAUAAAGUCCAGCACGCCACCUGCUGGUGAGCAGGAGCAGAGGCUGCGGCUGUACUCGGUCUCCCUGCUGCCGUCCUGAUAAGAAGAACGUGUUUCUCUGCACAGACUGAUGGGCCUGAUAAACGCUGCCGCUGCACGCAUGACUCGGUAUAAUUACCUUAGUAAGGACUGCAAGCACAUUUACUACUGCGGCAGCCUAAAGUAAACACACUGUAUACAUCCUUGAGUCUUUGUUUACCCAAAGACCUGCUGAGUGCACAAGAUUGCACAACAAAUAUUUACAUUGAAGCCCAACACACUUUAGAGCAAAAAGGGGCUUGAGAAAGUGUAAUUCUUUAGUGGCCUUAAAAAAAAAACAACAUUUUGAACUCUUAAAACUAUAACAACCCACAAAAAUAUUGUUUAAAUAAGCUGAAAAUGACGCCAUACGGCAAAGUGACUGGAGAGCCACGGCCGCAGCAGGCUGCGUGUAGAGGAGGGCGGGGCACGGGGGGCCACGUGUUGUUUUCCCGGUUGCCACAGCGACACAGGCUGCAUUUUUUUAAACGCCUUCCUUCCUCCUCACUUCCUUUCUCCUGUCUUUCACUUUCUCCUCAGUUCUUGUCCCAAAACACAACAUCCUUAUUUUGACCUUUUAACAUCUAUAUGAAAGAUGAGAAUCUGUUGGUAAUUUUUAAUUAAAACUACAGAACAAUUGCUUUUAACACGUACUUCUUUUUCUUUUUGAUUCCUUUUCUACAUGUUGAUAGAUACUAAUAGUUAGAUAAUAAUAAUAAUAAUAAUACAAAAAAUAUGAUGGAUAAUUGACGUAUUUGUUAGCUGUAGCCCAUCUCAGUCAAUGAGUGAUGUGUUGCCUUUUUUGGUAGUCUGAGUGUACAAUUUAAGCUGAGAUGAGGGUGAGAUAUUAAUACACAAAACCUGCCUCGUGUACCACAGUGCGCAUGCAAUGCAAUUGUUGACAUGGAAAUGAUGCACUGUUUGAAAUUACUUCCUAAAUUCAACUAUGUGUUUGGCCGAGUGUUAAGACAACAACACAAAUUCUGCUCUUGUCUGAAGACUCUUGUGUCCAUUUAUAUUUACCUGUCCCAGGCCCGGCGGCGGGAUUAAGUGACUGAGGAAGCUGUUAAAAACUAAGAGGGGACGAGCUUUUUCAUAAAAUAAAGUUCAUGCAUUCGAGCAUGAUUUAACCAUGCAGUAGGCUGAGAAGGGCUAAACGACAACAACACAAAGUCACUGCAGUUACUGAGUCCUACACAACAACAGCAACAACAACAACAACAAAAAGCUAAGUGAUAUCUCAGUCAGUAAUUGCGUUGUUUUUGAUGUUUACAAAGAGCUCAAACAAACACAGCCGAGAGAGCAAAGCCCCUUGUGGCGUUGGAUCCGACCUCUCCUACCAGACGUGGGAGUCAAACCAAAUAUGCUAUUUACAGAGCAUCGAAUGAAACAUUAACCACUGUCUGCAGUUUAUUUACUCUGCUACUACUGCCUACAUUCUCUGCCUCUUUGAAUUUAAGCUGGUGUCUCCCACAGCGAGGGAAUUUCACACUUAGCAGUGUAACGUCCUGUACGACACAGGACUCAGUAAACCAGUCGUGUUUAUUUGGACCCAGCGCUAAUGGAUUUGUGUUUAAUGUUAGGAUUAUGUUAUCUGGCAGAUGUAUCUGCAGAGCCAGUGUCGACUUCUCUCUCGGGUUUCCAUGCAACAGAUUUAGCCCAGGUGCCUUCUUUUUGCAAACUGCAGUGAAUACAAGACACAGUGGCUACCAGCUGGUGCACGACCGAGCAGAUCAGCAGUUUCACAACACAUUGUUCAGACUUGGAGAGAAAACCUUUUCAUCCACCAGCUGCAACUGAUCCUGAAAUGCGGUCACAACGUUUAUCACAGCAAAGCUACAAGAUAUAUUUCAAGAAAAUUACACAGACAGACCUAAAGUAAAGGAGAAGAGAAAAUACAAAGGCGCUGUUGUGCAUUUUCAUGGUCAGUAUUUUAUUUCUAGUCACCUUCGGACAACCGUAACUCCAGUUUGAUCAUCACAGCUGAACUCUUUGACCGGACUUGUUUGGCUCCUUUUCUUAAACAAGCACCGUUAGGAUGCAUUAAUUUUGUUCAGUUAUACCUAACUUAUUAUGUUAUUAAAUCCUAACAUAACUGUUAAAUUAUAACUAGCAAGAUUUGUAUUAAAAAUAAACAGCAUUUUAUAUGCCUAACAUAGAAAUUUUGUUCUCCAGAAUCACAGCACAUUUCAAGCGAGGAUGACUAGCUGGGUGCUCGCUUCACUUGUGCUGUGAUUCUACAGCCUGGCUAACAAACAAACACACACACUGGCUAUGCGGGCUAACACCACCUGCAGCUCUCACCACUGACCUCGGAUCAGAUGCUGCCUCUUCCUGAAGUAUGUGAUCUUGGAGGUGUAGUCGUUAUAGACGGAGUUCAUGCCCCGGUUCUCCAGCCAGUGUGCUGUGGCCACCCCUCUUCCCUGCACCUUCAUGGAGUGCACUCUGGUGUCCCUCCGCAGCUCCAGCACCACCUGGCCGGACACCACCUCCCCUCCGGUGAAGGCUGCAUCAGCCGGACCAUCCAGCUCCAGCGUGAAAGACUUUAUGGAGCUCAGCGUCAUCUCUCUGAGUGAAGACUGGAACAAAGUAAACAAAAACACACAUUUUGACAAGGCUGACCCCUGGCUUACAGUAAUGUUUGCCAUGUGUGUGGAACCGGUUAAAUAGCCACAGCAUGCUGGAGGCGUAAAUGACUGAAGCAUCUACGGGUUCAUGUGGACACCAGAGACCCCAAAAUCAAGCAAAUAAUACAUGUGAAGUCUUGUAUUCAAAUAAUAUUCUGCAAUUUUUUUGAACUGAUUUUAAAUGUAUGCUUGCCAUUACACAGAAGACAAUGUUAGUUUCUUUUAAAGAUCAUACUUUCAGUGUGGGGUUGGGUGGUUCAGUCCUGCCAGCAGCCACUGCUGUGCAGUCUGUUUUUGUUUUUCAAUACGUUUAAGGAAAUGUUCAAUAACGAGUUAUAACAAAAUUUUACACAUUGAUUAUUGCUAAAAUAAAGUUGUUACCAAAGAAUUACAA